ncrna:unclassified sequences malK-I RNA
UUAGGCGCCGGACCGCUACUCCAUUCCCAUAGCGGACGGCAGCUGUCAAAAAGGAGGAAAAAUCCGCCGAGCCGGCGGUGCGGCAGUGUGGAGACCUGUCGUAAAGCCCCGGGAGUUUCGCUCUCCCGGCGGCGAGGGGACAGCAAGCGGAUGCUCUGUCCCUGCGGCUCUUCAUUUAUGGCU